rnacentral:rRNA from 2 species
UUAAGCGACUAAGCGUACACGGUGGAUGCCCUGGCAGUCAGAGGCGAUGAAGGACGUGCUAAUCUGCGAAAAGCGUCGGUAAGGUGAUAUGAACCGUUAUAACCGGCGAUGUCCGAAUGGGGAAACCCAGUGCAAUUCGUUGCACUAUCGUUAACUGAAUACAUAGGUUAACGAGGCGAACCGGGGGAACUGAAACAUCUAAGUACCCCGAGGAAAAGAAAUCAACCGAGAUUCCCCCAGUAGCGGCGAGCGAACGGGGAGCAGCCCAGAGUCUGAAUCAGCUUGUGUGUUAGUGGAACGGUCUGGAAAGUCCGACGGUACAGGGUGAUAGUCCCGUACACCAAAAUGCACAGGCUGUGAACUCGAAGAGUAGGGCGGGACACGUGGUAUCCUGUCUGAAUAUGGGGGGACCAUCCUCCAAGGCUAAAUACUCCUGACUGACCGAUAGUGAACCAGUACCGUGAGGGAAAGGCGAAAAGAACCCCGGCGAGGGGAGUGAAAAAGAACCUGAAACCGUGUACGUACAAGCAGUGGGAGCACCUUCGGGUGUGACUGCGUACCUUUUGUAUAAUGGGUCAGCGACUUAUAUUCUGUAGCAAGGUUAACCGUAUAGGGGAGCCGCAGGGAAACCGAGUCUUAACUGGGCGUUAAGUUGCAGGGUAUAGACCCGAAACCCGGUGAUCUAGCCAUGGGCAGGUUGAAGGUUGGGUAACACUAACUGGAGGACCGAACCGACUAAUGUUGAAAAAUUAGCGGAUGACUUGUGGCUGGGGGUGAAAGGCCAAUCAAACCGGGAGAUAGCUGGUUCUCCCCGAAAGCUAUUUAGGUAGCGCCUCGUGAAUUCAUCUUCGGGGGUAGAGCACUGUUUCGGCUAGGGGGUCAUCCCGACUUACCAACCCGAUGCAAACUACGAAUACCGAAGAAUGUUAUCACGGGAGACACACGGCGGGUGCUAACGUCCGUCGUGAAGAGGGAAACAACCCAGACCGCCAGCUAAGGUCCCAAAGUCAUGGUUAAGUGGGAAACGAUGUGGGAAGGCACAGACAGCCAGGAUGUUGGCUUAGAAGCAGCCAUCAUUUAAAGAAAGCGUAAUAGCUCACUGGUCGAGUCGGCCUGCGCGGAAGAUGUAACGGGGCUAAACCAUGCACCGAAGCUGCGGCAGCGACACUAUGUGUUGUUGGGUAGGGGAGCGUUCUGUAAGCCUGCGAAGGUGUGCUGUGAGGCAUGCUGGAGGUAUCAGAAGUGCGAAUGCUGACAUAAGUAACGAUAAAGCGGGUGAAAAGCCCGCUCGCCGGAAGACCAAGGGUUCCUGUCCAACGUUAAUCGGGGCAGGGUGAGUCGACCCCUAAGGCGAGGCCGAAAGGCGUAGUCGAUGGGAAACAGGUUAAUAUUCCUGUACUUGGUGUUACUGCGAAGGGGGGACGGAGAAGGCUAUGUUAGCCGGGCGACGGUUGUCCCGGUUUAAGCAUGUAGGCUGAUUGUCCAGGCAAAUCCGGAUAAUCAAGGCUGAGGUGUGAUGACGAGGCACUACGGUGCUGAAGUAACAAAUGCCCUGCUUCCAGGAAAAGCCUCUAAGCAUCAGGUAACAUCAAAUCGUACCCCAAACCGACACAGGUGGUCAGGUAGAGAAUACCAAGGCGCUUGAGAGAACUCGGGUGAAGGAACUAGGCAAAAUGGUGCCGUAACUUCGGGAGAAGGCACGCUGGUGUGUAGGUGAAGUCCCUGCGGAUGGAGCUGAGACCAGUCGAAGAUACCAGCUGGCUGCAACUGUUUAUUAAAAACACAGCACUGUGCAAACACGAAAGUGGACGUAUACGGUGUGACGCCUGCCCGGUGCCGGAAGGUUAAUUGAUGGGGUUAUCCGUAAGGAGAAGCUCUUGAUCGAAGCCCCGGUAAACGGCGGCCGUAACUAUAACGGUCCUAAGGUAGCGAAAUUCCUUGUCGGGUAAGUUCCGACCUGCACGAAUGGCGUAAUGAUGGCCAGGCUGUCUCCACCCGAGACUCAGUGAAAUUGAACUCGCUGUGAAGAUGCAGUGUACCCGCGGCAAGACGGAAAGACCCCGUGAACCUUUACUAUAGCUUGACACUGAACAUUGAGCCUUGAUGUGUAGGAUAGGUGGGAGGCUUUGAAGCGUGGACGCCAGUCUGCGUGGAGCCAACCUUGAAAUACCACCCUUUAAUGUUUGAUGUUCUAACGUUGGCCCCUUACCGGGGUUGCGGACAGUGUCUGGUGGGUAGUUUGACUGGGGCGGUCUCCUCCCAAAGCGUAACGGAGGAGCACGAAGGUUAGCUAAUCCUGGUCGGACAUCAGGAGGUUAGUGCAAUGGCAUAAGCUAGCUUGACUGCGAGCGUGACGGCGCGAGCAGGUGCGAAAGCAGGUCAUAGUGAUCCGGUGGUUCUGAAUGGAAGGGCCAUCGCUCAACGGAUAAAAGGUACUCCGGGGAUAACAGGCUGAUACCGCCCAAGAGUUCAUAUCGACGGCGGUGUUUGGCACCUCGAUGUCGGCUCAUCACAUCCUGGGGCUGAAGUAGGUCCCAAGGGUAUGGCUGUUCGCCAUUUAAAGUGGUACGCGAGCUGGGUUUAGAACGUCGUGAGACAGUUCGGUCCCUAUCUGCCGUGGGCGCUGGAGAAUUGAGGGGGGCUGCUCCUAGUACGAGAGGACCGGAGUGGACGCAUCACUGGUGUUCGGGUUGUCAUGCCAAUGGCACUGCCCGGUAGCUAAAUGCGGAAGAGAUAAGUGCUGAAAGCAUCUAAGCACGAAACUUGCCCCGAGAUGAGUUCUCCCUGAGACUUUAAGUCUCCUGAAGGAACGUUGAAGACGACGACGUUGAUAGGCCGGGUGUGUAAGCGCAGCGAUGCGUUGAGCUAACCGGUACUAAUGAACCGUGAGGCUUAACCUU